rnacentral:rRNA from 1 species
AAUCGAACCCGGAGAUAGCUGGUUCUCCUCGAAAUAGCUUUAGGGCUAGCCUCGAUGGAGUCUUACGGAGGUAGAGCACUGAAUUUCUAAGGGGGCGUCAAAGCUUACCAAGGGAUAUCAAACUCCGAAUGCCGUAAAGAUGCUCAUCGGGAGUCAGACUGCACGAGAUAAGUUGGGCAGUCAAAAGGGAAAGAGCCCAGACCUGCUGCUAAGGUCCCAAAGUACGUGUUAAGUGGAAAAGGAUGUGGGAUUUCGAAGACAACUAGGAUGUUGGCUCAGAAGCAGCCACACAUUCAAAGAGUGCGUAAUAGCUCACUAGUCGAGAGGUCCUGCGCCGAAAAUGUCCGGGGCUGAAACACGACACCGAAGCACAGGAUACCGCAAGGUAUGGUAGAGGAGCAUUGCUGGCGCAACGAAGCAGUACCGGAAGGAGCUGUGGAGUGCCAGGAAGAGAGAAUGCCGGAAUGAGUAGCGAGAGAGAGGUGGGAAUCCUCUCGGCCGAAUAUCCAAGGUUUCCAGGGUAAAGCUGAUCUGCCCUGGGUAAGUCGGGGCCUAAGGAGAGGCAGAAAUGCGUAUCCGAUGGACAGCAGGUUGAGAUUCCUGCACUAUCUUAAAACAGAACUGUGGGGACAUUUGUGGAGAGCACAGGCGCGGAACGGAAAGCCGCGUGCAAGCGAAGGAGGAGUCACAUAGGAAAAACCGUGUGGCAAUCCAAAGGCGUGAUGCGGACCGAACUAAAGUAGGGAAGUGUGUGAGCCAUGAAUCAAGAAAAGCCGCUAUUGUUUUUAAGAUACCCGUACCGUAAACCGACACAGGUGGAUGAGGAGAGAAUCCUAAGGCCGGCGGAAGAAGCAUUGUUAAGGAACUCGGCAAAAUGACCCCGUAACUUCGGGAGAAGGGGUGCCAACGAGAGUUGGCCGCAGAGAAUAGGCUCAAGCAACUGUUUAGCAAAAACACAGGUCUAUGCAAAACCGUAAGGUGAGGUAUAUGGGCUGACGCCUGCCCGGUGCUGGAAGGUUAAGAGGAGAGGUUAGCGCAAGCGAAGCUUUGAAUUUAAGCCCCAGUAAACGGCGGCCGUAACUAUAACGGUCCUAAGGUAGCGAAAUUCCUUGUCGGGUAAGUUCCGACCCGCACGAAAGGCGUAAUGAUUUGAGCGCUGUCUCGACAAUGCAUCCGGUGAAAUUGAAGUACCAGUGAAGAUGCUGGUUACCCGCGCCAGGACGGAAAGACCCCAUGGAGCUUUACUCCAGUUUGGUACUGGGGUCCGGCAGUGCAUGUACAGGAUAGGUGGGAGGCUGUGAACCUGGAACGCCAGUUUCAGGGGAGCCAUUGUUGGGAUACCACCCUUGUGCUGCUGGGCUUCUAACCAGCGGCCUUUAUCAGGCCGGGGGACAAUGCCAGACGGGGAGUUUGACUGGGGCGGUCGCCUCCGAAAGGGUAUCGGAGGCGCUCAAAGGUUCCCUCAGAAUGGUCGGAAACCAUUCGAAGAGUGCAAAGGCAGAAGGGAGCUUGACUGCGACACCGACGGGUGGAGCAGGUACGAAAGUAGGACUUAGUGAUCCGGUGGUAUUAAGUGGGAAUGCCAUCGCUCAACGGAUAAAAGCUACCCUGGGGAUAACAGGCUUAUCACUCCCAAGAGUUCACAUCGACGGAGUGGUUUGGCACCUCGAUGUCGGCUCAUCGCAUCCUGGGGCUGUAGUAGGUCCCAAGGGUUGGGCUGUUCGCCCAUUAAAGCGGUACGCGAGCUGGGUUCAGAACGUCGUGAGACAGUUCGGUCCCUAUCCGGCGUGGGCGUAGGAUAUUUGAGAGGAGCUGUCCUUAGUACGAGAGGACCGGGAUGGACUGACCUCUGGUGUACCGGUUGAACCGCCAGGUUCACGGCCGGGUAGCCAAGUCGGGAAGGGAUAAACGCUGAAGGCAUCUAAGCGUGAAGCCCCCCUCAAGAUGAGAUAUCCCAUUCGAAAGAAGUAAGACCCCUUGA